AAAAUAAACGCUUGUCUGAUAACAAUCUAUUCGAUCGAUCGGAGCUAGCGAGGUAAUUAGAGAAAAGGAGGUUCCGUUGUUGAUAAAGCACAAUAAUCGAUCAUGACGAACUGUAAACUUGCACUCUUUCUUGCCGCGAUUUUUAUCAUACAUUGUGCGUCCUCCGAGGGGCUGUGUGUUAGUGAAUGUCACUCUGACGCUGUAUUAUGUAGGAAUAAAUGUACGGACCAGCCGUGUGCUAAUAUCUGAACUUCUAAAAUGAACGCAUGUUUCGCAGCUUGUCCAAGUAGCGACCCUAACCGCGAUGGUCAAGACAACGAUGAUGAAUUCGAGGAGGUUUUUGAAAAGUAAUGUUAUCUAAAUACAAGGAAUCCCGAAGUACUUUAGACUGUUGUAAACUGAUAAAAUAUUUUCACUCACCAAGGAGAACAAAAAACUGAUACUUUUUGAAAAAUUAGGAAUUCGACGAGCAAGCUAAAGUUUUAGCUGUUAGCCAGUUGGGAAGUGAAAUUAACAAAUCUAUGCUGUUGUAACAUUGCAUAUUAAUAAUAAAAAUGUGUGUGUAAAAUACGAUGCUAUCUGGUAUCGACAGCUAGCAACUCUAAAUAUUCAAUGUCAAAAAAGUGUUUGCUUAACUGUAAAAUAGUAAACACGCAAUCAGUUUUCCUUUGUGUACGUAUCAACCCUUUAAUUAGAAGAAGAACUUAGAAGAGAGAGAGAGGAACUAACUUUUCUCUCCUCCAGCUCCUACACAAUCCCUUGUAAAUUUGUUACAAGAGUUUGGUUUUAGAUUUAAGAUAACGAUUCUACCUGAAAAGUUGAAGUAUUCUUGUUACCUGUUUGCUGGAUAACGUAUGGAUAUUAUAGGAGAAGUUACAUGUUAAUCACUCCCGGGAUUUAACUGGGGCUAAUAAACAAUUUCCUCAUUAUU